GGGGGCGACCUGGUUUCGACGUGGGUUACAAAGCAGCGCAGGGCAUACCGAGGGCUGGCUACCUCGUAAAUACAACCAGAAAAUAUAUAACUGCAAACGAUAACUCGUACGCACUAGCAGCUUAAUCGCUGUCUAGCUCUACACCAUCUCGUCUCUGGGGUGGGCUGGCAACAGCAGUAGAGUCAUUUACAGAGAAUCGCUUUUAGUCGGGUUACCUGGCUAAAAGUUAAAUUUAGGUAACUCGUUUGACCGCAGCGUGUGCGUCCGCGUCGGCCAGAUUAAAUCAAAUGGCAGCACUAAGUAUGUAGAACUGUCUGUAGAGGACUUGCGGACGCGGGUUCGAUUCCCGCCGCCUCCACCA
rnacentral:tmRNA from 1 species